GUAACACGUGGGCAACCUACCCUAUAGUUUGGGAUAACUCCGGGAAACCGGGGCUAAUACCGAAUAAUCUCUUUUGCUUCAUGGCAAGAGACUGAAAGACGGCUUCUCGCUGUCGCUAUAGGAUGGGCCCGCGGCGCAUUAGCUAGUUGGUGAGGUAACGGCUCACCAAGGCGACAAUGCGUAGCCGACCUGAGAGGGUGAUCGGCCACACUGGGACUGAAACACGGCCCAAACUCCUACGGGAGGCAGCAGUAGGGAAUCUUCCACAAUGGGCGAAAGCCUGAUGGAGCAACGCCGCGUGAGUGAAGAAGGUUUUCGGAUCGUAAAACUCUGUUGUAAGGGAAGAACAAGUACAGUAGUAACUGGCUGUACCUUGACGGUACCUUAUUAGAAAGCCACGGCUAACUACGUGCCAGCAGCCGCGGUAAUACGUAGGUGGCAAGCGUUGUCCGGAAUUAUUGGGCGUAAAGCGCGCGCAGGCGGUCCUUUAAGUCUGAUGUGAAAGCCCACGGCUCAACCGUGGAGGGUCAUUGGAAACUGGGGGACUUGAGUGCAGAAGAGGAAAGUGGAAUUCCAAGUGUAGCGGUGAAAUGCGUAGAGAUUUGGAGGAACACCAGUGGCGAAGGCGACUUUCUGGUCUGUAACUGACGCUGAGGCGCGAAAGCGUGGGGAGCAAACAGGAUUAGAUACCCUGGUAGUCCACGCCGUAAACGAUGAGUGCUAAGUGUUAGGGGGUUUCCGCCCCUUAGU
rnacentral:rRNA from 1 species